UACGUAGGGCGCAAGCGUUGUCCGGAAUUAUUGGGCGUAAAGAGCGCGCAGGCGGUUGGAUAAGUCGAAUGUGAAAGCCCCCGGCUCAACUGGGGAGGGUCAUUCGAUACUGUCCGACUCGAAGGCAGGAGAGGGUAGUGGAAUUCCCGGUGUAGUGGUGAAAUGCGUAGAUAUCGGGAGGAACACCUGUGGCGAAGGCGGCCAUCUGGACGAUAACUGACGCUGAGACGCGAAAGCGUGGGUAGCAAACAGG
rnacentral:rRNA from 1 species